rnacentral:rRNA from 1 species
UACGGAGGGUGCAAACGUUGCUCGGAAUCAUUGGGCGUAAAGCGCACGUAGGCGGUCCGGAAAGUUGGGUGUGAAAUCCCUCGGCUCAACCGAGGAACUGCGCUCAAAACUACCGUGCUCGAGGGAGACAGAGGUGAGCGGAACUUAGGGUGGAGCGGUGAAAUGCGUUGAUAUCCUAAGGAACACCGGUGGCGAAGGCGGCUCACUGGGUCUCUUCUGACGCUGAGGCACGAAAGCUAGGGUAGCGAACGGG